rnacentral:lncRNA from 1 species
CUUAUUACUGUUUCCAGUAGUAAAAGUUACAAAGUCUCUUUUGCUCAAAUUCUCUCCCCCUCUCAUUGACACAAAAUCUUCUUUCUUUGUGCUCUGACUGCUUGGACUUAAAAUACAGCUUUUUAGUUAAUCAGCAUUUUCUUUUGUAGGUUGUGGCAGAUUUGGGUGUUGGACAGUAAAUAACCUGAGAUUACUGUUGUCAAGGUUGGAACAUGGAUUCAGACUUAAAAGGCUCCCUCUGACAAAUAUCUUUGUUCAGCAAGAUUGUGAGGACAAGCUGCUGCAUCACUGAUCUGAAGAAGGGCUUUCUCUUUUAAGACUGCAAGAAGAUACUACUAACUGGUAAACACUUGUCUGGGUUUCUUUGCUUGUGGAAUAUUUGUUUGUUUUCCAUAAUAUUUUAGGCCAAGGAAUACAAAGUAUUUUGAUCUGUUGAAAACAAGAAGUAGUUAAUGUAGUAUUUUUUCUUUCUAAUUGUCUGUAGCUCACCAGACAAAAGACUCUGUAGCAGUGGAUAACGUGUGGGUAUUUAAAUUGGAAUACAAAUUGAUUAAAUUCCUGCUCUCUCAAUAGAAGAAAAAAGACUGGUUGUUUUUUUUUUUUUCCCUGUAAUGGCUAGUUAGACAGUUUGUUUGGCU